CCUACGGGAGGCAGCAGUGAGGAAUAUUGGUCAAUGGACGAGAGUCUGAACCAGCCAAGUAGCGUGAAGGAUGACUGCCCUAUGGGUUGUAAACUUCUUUUAUAUGGGAAUAAAAUGUUCCACGUGUGGGAUUUUGUAUGUACCAUAUGAAUAAGGAUCGGCUAACUCCGUGCCAGCAGCCGCGGUAAUACGGAGGAUCCGAGCGUUAUCCGGAUUUAUUGGGUUUAAAGGGAGCGUAGGUGGAUUGUUAAGUCAGUUGUGAAAGUGUGCGGCUCAACCGUAAAAUUGCAGUUGAAACUGGCAGUCUUGAGUACAGUAGAGGUGGGCGGAAUUCGUGGUGUAGCGGUGAAAUGCUUAGAUAUCGCGAAGAACUCCGAUUGCGAAGGCAGUUCACUGGACUGCAACUGACACUGAGGCUCGAAAGUGUGGGUAUCAAACAGGAUUAGAUACCCGGGUAGUC
rnacentral:rRNA from 1 species